rnacentral:rRNA from 1 species
CAAGCGUGGAUGAUGUGGAUUAAUUCGAUGCAACGCGAAGAACCUUACUACCCUUGACAUGUCCGGAACUUGCCAGAGAUGGCUUGGUGCCCCGAAAGGGAACCGGAACACAGGUGCUGCAUGGCUGUCGUCAGCUCGUGUCGUGAGAUGUUGGGUUAAGUCCCGCAACGAGCGCAACCCUUGUCCUUAGUUGCUACGCAAGAGCACUCUAAGGAGACUGCCGGUGACAAACCGGAGGAAGGUGGGGAUGACGUCAAGUCCUCAUGGCCCUUAUGGGUAGGGCUUCACACGUCAUACAAUGGUCGGUACAGAGGGUUGCCAAGCCGCGAGGUGGAGCCAAUCCCACAAAGCCGAUCGUAGUCCGGAUUGUUCUCUGCAACUCGAGAGCAUGAAGUCGGAAUCGCUAGUAAUCGCAGGUCAGCAUACUGCGGUGAAUACGUUCCCGGGUCUU